rnacentral:rRNA from 1 species
AUUGAACGCUGGCGGCAGGCCUAACACAUGCAAGUCGAGCGGAGCGGCGGAAGGGUGAGGAAUGCCUAGGAAUCUGACUGGUAGUGGGGGAUAACGUUCGGAAACGGGCGCUAAACCCGCAUCCUAUUGGAUGAGGCUAGGUCGGAUUAGCUAGUUGGGGGGGUAAAGGCCUACCAAGGCGACGAACCGGAACUGGUCUGAGAGGAUGAUCAGUCACACUGGAACUGAGACACGGUCCAGACUCCUACGGGAGGCAGCAGUGGGGAAGAUUGGACAAUGGGCGAAAGCCUGAUCCAGCCAUGCCGCGUGUGUGAAGAAGGCCUUCGGAUUGUAAAGUACUUUAAGUGGGGAGGCGUUUCCAACAGAAUAAGCACCGGCUAACUUCGUGCCAGCAGCCGCGGUAAUUC